rnacentral:rRNA from 1 species
GACGAACGCUGGCGGCGUGCUUAACACAUGCAAGUCGAACGAAGUGGCGAACGGGUGAGUAACGCGUAAUCCACCUGCCCUUCAGAGGGGGACAACAGUUGGCACCGACUGCUAAUACCGCAUACUGAAGGAGGGGAUUGCGUCUGCUUCGCUAGUUGGAGGGGUAACGGCCCACCAAGGCGAUGAUCCGUAGCCUGUCUGAGAGGAUUAACCGCCACAUUGGGACUUGGAAACGGCCCAGACUCCUACGGGAGGCAACAGUUGGGAAUCUUCCGCAAUGGACGAAAGUCUGACGAAGCAACGCCGCGUGAGUGAUGACGGCCUUCGGGUUGUAAAGCUCUGUUAAGCGGGACGCGGUACCGGAAUAGAAAGCCACGGCUAACUACGUGCCAGCAGCCGCGGUAAUAC